rfam:Burkholderia humi Vandamme et al. 2013 isolate LMG 22934 genome assembly, contig: contig000195
UCGAGCUGUAUGCGGGGAAACUCGCACGUACAGUUCUUCGGGGGCCGCGUUUCCGCGAGGAGACGUGGCUACCCAAU